GAUGAACGCUGGCGGCGUGCCUAAUACAUGCAAGUCGAGCGAACAGACGAGGAGCUUGCUCCUCUGACGUUAGCGGCGGACGGGUGAGUAACACGUGGAUAACCUACCUAUAAGACUGGGAUAACUUCGGGAAACCGGAGCUAAUACCGGAUAAUAUAUUGAACCGCAUGGUUCAAUAGUGAAAGACGGUUUUGCUGUCACUUAUAGAUGGAUCCGCGCCGCAUUAGCUAGUUGGUAAGGUAACGGCUUACCAAGGCGACGAUGCGUAGCCGACCUGAGAGGGUGAUCGGCCACACUGGAACUGAGACACGGUCCAGACUCCGACGGGAGGCAGCAGUAGGGAAUCUUCCGCAAUGGGCGAAAGCCUGACGGAGCAACGCCGCGUGAGUGAUGAAGGUCUUCGGAUCGUAAAACGCUGUUAUUAGGGAAGAACAAAUGUGUAAGUAACUAUGCACGUCUUGACGGUACCUAAUCAGAAAGCCACGGCUAACUACGUG
rnacentral:rRNA from 1 species